rnacentral:rRNA from 1 species
UACGAAGGGGGCUAGCGUUGUUCGGAUUUACUGGGCGUAAAGCGCACGUAGGCGGAUCGUUAAGUCGGGGGUGAAAUCCUGGAGCUCAACUCCAGAACUGCCUUCGAUACUGGCGAUCUUGAGUCCGGAAGAGGUGAGUGGAACUCCUAGUGUAGAGGUGGAAUUCGUAGAUAUUAGGAAGGAACACCAGUGGCGAAGGCGACUACCUGGACUGAUACUGACACUGAGGUGCGAAAGCGUGGGGAGCAAACAGG